rnacentral:rRNA from 1 species
AUUGAACGCUGGCGGCAUGCCUUACACAUGCAAGUCGAACGGUAACGGGCCUUCGGGUGCCGACGAGUGGCGAACGGGUGAGUAAUACAUCGGAACGUGCCCGAUCGUGGGGGAUAACGAGGCGAAAGCUUUGCUAAUACCGCAUACGAUCUACGGAUGAAAGCAGGGGACCGCAAGGCCUUGCGCGGACGGAGCGGCCGAUGGCAGAUUAGGUAGUUGGUGGGAUAAAAGCUUACCAAGCCGACGAUCUGUAGCUGGUCUGAGAGGAUGAUCAGCCACACUGGGACUGAGACGCGGCCCAGACUCCUACGGGAGGCAGCAGUGGGGAAUUUUGGACAAUGGGCGCAAGCCUGAUCCAGCCAUGCCGCGUGCAGGAUGAAGGCCUUCGGGUUGUAAACUGCUUCUGUACGGAACGAAAAGCCUUCUUUUAAUACAGGAGGGUCAUGACGGUACCGUAAGAAUAAGCACCGGCUAACUACGUG